rnacentral:rRNA from 1 species
UACGAAGGGGGCUAGCGUUGCUCGGAAUUACUGGGCGUAAAGGGCGCGUAGGCGGGUCGUUUAGUUAGAGGUGAAAGCCCAGGGCUCAACCCUGGAAUUGCCUUUAAUACUGGCGGCCUUGAGUAUGGCAGAGGUGUGUGGAACUCCGAGUGUAGAAGUGAAAUUCGUAGAUAUUCGGAAGAACACCAGUGGCGAAGGCGACACACUGGGCCAUUACUGACGCUGAGGCGCGAAAGCGUGGGGAGCAAACAGG